CUCAUUAAGUACAACUAUUCUAUAAAAAUGAAGUUCAUUAUCGGGCUUAUUUGUGCUCUUUUCUUAGCUGAAAGCGCGUACGAAUCAAGGAUUCCUCCGUGCACUAAUUUUGGAUGCAAUUGGGAUGAAGGAGCAUAAUUGUGUUCAUUUGAAUUUAGAAUUUGCUGCAUAUCAUAAUAAAAAGCAAGUAAAAAUUGUGGCUAGCAAUGAGAGAUUCCCAAUAUAUGGGUAAAAUUUCAAUUUGCAUGUAAGAACUGCAGAUCGAACUAUCUCACAGCCUUGAUUUCACUUUGCUUUUAUCCUUUUCAUCUAAACAUGUCUGAUUAAAGUAUUGCCAUUUUUCUUAUUGUCAACUA